UGAUUUCUAGAAUGAAAUAUACUAACAAUUAUCGUAAUUUGAUCGUCCACAUAGAACGCUUGAUAGCAGAAAAAUUAGGAAAAAUAAUUCCGAAUGAGCUGUAAAUUAAUGGCGCGACAGAGGUGAAAGAAAAAUGUGGAACAAUGAGGUGUUUCAGCCAUGAGCAUUUGGCAAAAUUUCAACACAUAGCAGUUGUGGAAAUUGAAAACUUCUGAAGGCGAUCAGAAUCUCGUCCAAAGUUUGACAUUCGAGACUCUUGGCAUUGAGGAAGAAAUGCAUUAAAGUUGACCAAUGAUUGUCAUGUAUCCAUAGAAUCAAUAAAAAUACCAGCAUGCAGCCGUUUUAUUUGUCAAAUGAAACAAUUUCAUCAAAUUUAAAA